AGAGUUUGAUCCUGGCUCAGAUUGAACGCUGGCGGCAUGCCUAACACAUGCAAGUCGAACGUGAAAGAGGGGCAACUCUCGAGUAAAGUGGCGGACGGGUGAGUAAUACGUAGGAAUCUGCCCUAGAGUGGGGGAUAACCUGCCGAAAGGUGGGCUAAUACCGCAUGAUCUCUAAGGAGCAAAGGUGCCCUGUACUUGUACAGGGCUUCGCUUUAGGAUGAGCCUACGUCGGAUUAGCUAGUUGGUAGGGUAAUGGCCUACCAAGGCAACAAUCCGUAGCUGGUCUGAGAGGACGAUCAGCCACACUGGAACUGAGACACGGUCCAGACUCCUACGGGAGGCAGCAGUGGGGAAUAUUGGACAAUGGGGGAAACCCUGAUCCAGCAAUGCCGCGUGUGCGAUGAAGGCCUGCGGGUUGUAAAGCACUUUCGGUGGGGAAGAAAUGCCCAAAGAUAAUACCUUUGGGAGCUGACGUUACCCACAGAAGAAGCACCGGCAAACUCUGUGCCAGCAGCCGCGGUAAUACAGAGGGUGCAAGCGUUAGUCGGAGUUACUGGGCGUAAAGGGCGUGUAGGCUGAUAUCUAAGUCGAUUGUGAAAUCCCUGGGCUUAACCUAGGAAUUGCGUUCGAUACUAGAUGUCUUGAGUAUGGUAGAGGAAAGUGGAAUUCUCGGUGUAGUGGUUAAAUACGUAGAUAUCGAGAAGAACACCGGUGGCGAAGGCGGCUUUCUGGACCAAUACUGACGCUGAGGCGCGAAAGCGUGGGGAGCAAACAGGAUUAGAUACCCUGGUAGUCCACGCUGUAAACGAUGAGAACUAGAUGUUGUUAAGCUUUUAGCUUAUCAGUAUCGCAGCUAACGCGUUAAGUUCUCCGCCUGGGGAGUACGGUCGCAAGAUUAAAACUCAAAGGAAUUGAUGG
rnacentral:rRNA from 1 species